ensembl:lncRNA
UCAGCCAGCAGCACAGGCCCUGAUGUAAUGUGGAUGGUAUCAGCCAGCACCACAGGCUCUGGUGAAAUGUAGAUGACGUCAGCCAGCAGCGCAGGCCCUGGUGUAAUGUGGAUGGCUUCAGCCAGCACCGCAGGCCCUGGUGUGGUGAAGAUGGCCUCACAGGAAGCACAGGCCCUGGUGUGAUAUGGAUGGUAUCAGCCAGCACCACAGGCUCUGGUGAAAUGUAGAUGACGUCAGCCAGCAGCGCAGGCCCUGGUGUGGUGAAGAUGGCCUCACAGGAAGCACUGGCCCUGGUGUGAUAUGGAUGGUAUCAGCCAGCACCACAGGCUCUGGUGAAAUGUAGAUGACGUCAGCCAGCAGCUCAGGCUCUGGUGUGGUGAAGAUGGCCUCACAGGAAGCACUGGCUCUGGUGUAAUAUGGAUGGUAUCAGCCAGCAGCACAGGCCCUGGUGAAAUGUAGAUGACGUCAGCCAGCAGCGCAGGCCCUGGUGUGGUGAAGAUGGCCUCACAGGAAGCACUGGCUCUGGUGUAAUAUGGAUGGCAUCAGCCAGAAGCACAGGCCCUGGUGUAAUGUGGAUGGCAUCAGCCAGCACCACAGGCUUGGUGUGGUGAAGAUGGCCUCACAGGAAGCACAGGCCCUGGUGUAAUGUGGAUGGUAUCAGCCAGCACCACAGGGCCUGGUGUGGUGAAGACGGCCUCAGCCAGAAGCACUGGCCCAGGUGUAAUGUGGAUGGCUUCAGCCAGCACCGCAGGCCCUGGUGUGGUGAAGAUGGCCUCACAGGAAGCACAGGCUCUGGUGUAAUGUGGAUGGCAUCAGCCAGCACCACAGGCCCUGGUGUGAUAUGGAUGGUAUCAGCCAGCACCACAGGCUCUGGUGAAAUGUAGAUGACGUCAGCCAGCAGCGCAGGCCCUGGUGUGGUGAAGAUGGCCUCACAGGAAGCACUGGCUCUGGUGUAAAAUGGAUGGCAUCAGCCAGAAGCACAGGCCCUGGUGUGAUAUUGAUGGCGUCAGCCAGCACCACAGUCUCUGGUGUAAUGUGGAUGGCAUCAGCCAGCACCAGAGGCCCUGGGG